rnacentral:ncRNA from 1 species
GCGAUGAAGCAGGAGGUUGCGACUGAAAAAGGUCGGUUUUUCUGUGGAGUAUGUCCGAUUUUAAACCGGGCGACAA